UUGAUGAUUGGUCGAGGAACGAGACACUGCGACAACCUUCAAUACUGUCUUGGCUGCUCCCUCAUUGCAUUGCCAAGCGAGGUGGAGGAGAUUGAGGCGGACAUACCAACUCCAGGGUGGGCAUAUACCUCGCACCUUUUCUAUUUAUAGACUGUCAGUUACUUAACUUCCAACCAUAUCGCAUCUCCACUUCACAGAUACGAACUGGCCUACACUGCCUCAACGUUCUCGUCGCUGUCUUGUCCUUUUGUCCUAAAUUUGCAAAGCACUUCUACCUGCCUCUUAAAACCUGGGCAUUUGAUGACUUACCUUCCGAAGCUUCUUAAAUAUCAAUCAUUUUCACA